UACGUAGGGGGCAAACGUUGUCCGGAAUCAUUGGGCGUAAAGCGCUUGUAGGCGGUUUCGUAAGUCAGUUGUAAAAUCCCCGGGCUUAACCCGGGUUCGCAAUUGAUACUGCGGAGCUAGAGAGAUGUAGAGGAAAGCGGAACUACCGGUGUAGCGGUGAAAUGCGUAGAUAUCGGUAGGAACACCAGUGGCGAAGGCGGCUUUCUGGACAUUUUCUGACGCUGAGAAGCGAAAGUUAAGGGAGC
rnacentral:rRNA from 1 species